rnacentral:rRNA from 1 species
UACGUAGGGAGCAAGCGUUGUCCGGAAUCAUUGGGCGUAAGCGCGCGUAGGCGGCCCGAUAAGUCCGCUGUGAAAGUCAACGGCUCAACUGUUGGAUGCCGGUGGAUACUGUCGGGCUAGAGUACGGGAAGAGGCAAGUGGAAUUCCUGGUGUAGCGGUGGAAUGCGCAGAUAUCAGGAGGAACACCGAUGGCGAAGGCAGGUCUCUGGGCUGUAACUGACGCUGAGGAGCGAAAGCAUGGGGAGCGAACAGG